rnacentral:rRNA from 1 species
AUGGAGGCAGGGACGUGGGCGGUGGUGGUGGCGGCGGCGGCCGCGUACCUGGCGUGGUUCUGGCGGAUGUCGCGCGGGCUCAGCGGGCCCCGGGUGUGGCCGCUGGUGGGCAGCCUGCCGGGGCUGCUGCAGCACGCGGAGGACAUGCACGAGUGGAUCGUCGGCAACCUGCGCCGCACCGGGGGCACCUACCAGACCUGCAUCUUCGCGGUGCCCGGCGUGGCCCGCCGCGGCGGGCUGGUCACGGUCACGUGCGACCCCAGGAACCUGGAGCACGUCCUCAAGGCGCGCUUCGACAACUACCCCAAGGGCCCCUUCUGGCACGGCGUCUUCAGCGACCUGCUCGGCGACGGCAUCUUCAACUCCGACGGCGACACCUGGGUGGCGCAGCGCAAGACGGCCGCGCUCGAGUUCACCACGCGCACGCUCCGCACCGCCAUGUCCCGCUGGGUCUCCCGCUCCAUCCACCACCGCAUGCUCCCCAUCCUGUCCGACGCGGCGGCCUCCGGCGCGCACGUCGACCUGCAGGACCUCCUCCUCCGCCUCACCUUCGACAACAUCUGCGGCCUCGCCUUCGGCAAGGACCCGGAGACGCUCGCCCGCGGCCUCCCCGAGAACGCCUUCGCCACCUCCUUCGACCGCGCCACCGAGGCCACGCUCAACCGCUUCAUCUUCCCGGAGUUCGUGUGGCGGUGCAAGAAGUGGCUGGGGCUCGGCAUGGAGACCACGCUGGCGCGCAGCGUCGCGCACGUCGACCGCUACCUCUCCGCCGUCAUCAAGACGCGCAAGCUCGAGCUCGCCAGCAAGAGCGACGGGUCCACGCCGCAUGACGACCUCCUGUCGCGCUUCAUGCGCAAGGGGACCUACUCCGACGACUCCCUGCAGCACGUGGCGCUCAACUUCAUCCUCGCCGGCCGCGACACCUCCUCGGUGGCGCUCUCCUGGUUCUUCUGGCUGGUCUCCACCCACCCGGACGUCGAGCGCAAGAUCGUGCGCGAGCUCUGCGCCGUCCUGGCGGCGUCCCGCGGCGUAGACGACCCGGCAUUGUGGCUGGCCGCCCCGUUCGACUACGAGGAGCUGGACCGCCUCGUGUACCUCAAGGCGGCGCUCUCGGAGACCCUCCGGCUGUACCCGUCCGUGCCGGAGGACUCCAAGCACGUGGUCGCCGACGACUACCUCCCCGACGGCACGUUCGUGCCGGCCGGGUCAUCCGUCACGUACUCCAUCUACUCGGCCGGGCGCAUGAAGACGGUGUGGGGGGAGGACUGCCUGGAGUUCCGGCCGGAGCGGUGGCUGUCGGCCGACGGCAGCAAGUUCGAGCCGCACGACUCGUACAGGUUCGUGGCGUUCAACGCCGGGCCGCGCAUAUGCCUGGGCAAGGACCUGGCGUACCUGCAGAUGAAGAACAUCGCGGGGAGCAUCCUCCUCCGGCACCGCCUGGCCGUGGCGCCGGGGCACCGCGUGGAGCAGAAGAUGUCGCUCACGCUGUUCAUGAAGCACGGGCUCCGGAUGGUGGUGCGCCCGCGCGACCUCGCCCCGACCCUCGACGAGCUCCCCGCCGCGGCGCCCGCCGUCGCGGCCUGCGCGUAG